GGAUUAGCGGCGGACGGGUGAGUAACACGUGAGUAACCUGCCUUAGACAUUGGGAUAGCCUCGGGAAACCGGGAUUAAUACCAAAUAAAAUCAUAAUGACACAUGUCAUAACGAUCAAAACUCCGGUGGUCUAGGAUGGACUCGCGUCCCAUUAGCUAGUUGGUAGAGUAAAAGCCUACCAAGGCGACGAUGGGUAGCCGGCCUGAGAGGGUGAACGGCCACAUUGGAACUGAGAAACGGUCCAA
rnacentral:rRNA from 1 species